GCGAUGUGUGUUACCUCUCCUGUACAUCUGUUUGUUCGUCGUGGUAUUGAUGCCAUCUGCAAUGUCGGCAGUUCUUUGCCAGUCCAAUAUAACAAUUGCGAGGCAUUACAGCAGUGAAUUAUUUGAAUUUAGCAUUGCCGCCUUAACUGAGGGCUGAACAAGUGUUUUGAAAUCGAAUGUUGCGUUGUCAUCAGGGCUCUUUUAAGGUCACAAAUGUUGGCUAAGCGUUCACCAGACUUUUGGGAAAGUUUGCAAUCUUGAAUGAACCUUGCAAACUCUGACUCAAAUGCACAGUUUACUACCUUUACCAGCAGUCGAAAAAUUUCAUCCCUCACUGCGACGGCCUCUGAUGAUCCAUGUUGAAAAUUAAAUUCACUCAGAUUAAUUAAAAUUACACGUUUGCUCUGGAGGAUUGCAGAUGAGAUGUCUGGACCAGUGACCUACCUAUAAAUACACGGAUUAUUGAAAAUGUCAUACUUCAUUGUGAUCACGUUUGUUGGAAGGCCUUGAAAGACUUUUUGGACCAAUAAACUUGGAAAAGAAAUUUAUAAGCAGA